rnacentral:rRNA from 1 species
AUACGGAGGGUGCGAGCGUUGUUCGGAAUUAUUGGGCGUAAAGCGCGUGUAGGCGGUUUGUUAAGUCUGAUGUGAAAGCCCCGGGCUCAACUACUGUAAGACGGCCGAUACUGAUGAGCUAGAGUAUGUGAGAGGGAAGCGGAAUUCCCGGUGUAGCGGUGAAAUGCGUAGAUAUCAGGAGGAACACCGGUGGCGAAGGCGGCUGCCUGGACCGAUAUUGACGCUGAGACGCGAAAGCGUGGGUAGC